rnacentral:antisense_RNA from 1 species
UUUCUCAAACCUGUUGCAUAUUUAUUUGCCCAUGUGUGUAUAAAUUUUUUUAAAUUUUUCACCUGAACGUCAGGUAACUCACCAUUUAGCA